GGUCCCGCCUGCCCAGUGACUAACCACUUACUUAAACGGCCGCGGUAUCCUAACCGUGCAAAGGUAGCGUAAUCACUUGUCCCCUAAAUAGGGACUAGUAUGAAUGGCUAAAUGAGGGCCUAACUGUCUCCCUUGAUUAAUCAGUGAAAUUGAUCUGCCAGUACAAAAGCUGGCAUACACUCAUAAGACGAGAAGACCCUGUGGAGCUUAAAAUACUUAUGCCAAACCACUAAAUAUGCCAUAACAUUUUCAGUUGGGGCGACUACGGAAACAAACCUAACUUCCAAGCCAAUGGGCUUUUCCCCAUCCACCACAGACAAACAUGUCGAUACCACACGACCCAGAACUAUUCUGAAUAACGAACCAAGUUACCCCAGGGAUAACAGCGCCAUCUUCUUCAAGAGCCCCCAUCGACAAGAAGGUUUACGACCUCGAUGUUGGAUCAGGACACCCCAAUGGUGCAGCCGCUAUUAAAGGUUCGUUUGUUCAACGAUUAAAGUCCUACGUGAUC
rnacentral:rRNA from 1 species